GCAGUGGGGAAUUUUGCCCAAUGGGGGAAACCCUUAAGCAACCCAUGCCGCGUUUGUGAAGAAAGCCUUUCGGGUUGUAAAGCACUUUCAGUAGGGAGGAAGGUAGUGUAGUUAACACCUGCAUUAUUUGACGUUACCUACAGAAGAAGCACCGGCUAACUCCGUGCCAGCAGCCGCGGUAAUACGGAGGGUGCGAGCGUUAAUCGGAAUUACUGGGCGUAAAGCGCAUGCAGGCGGCCUGUUAAGUCAGAUGUGAAAGCCCGGGGCUUAACCUCGGAAUUGCAUUUGAAACUGGCAGGCUAGAGUCUUGUAGAGGGGGGUAGAAUUUCAGGUGUAGCGGUGAAAUGCGUAGAGAUCUGAAGGAAUACCAGUGGCGAAGGCGGCCCCCUGGACAAAGACUGACGCUCAGAUGCGAAAGCGUGGGGAGCAAACAGGAUUAGAUACCCUGGUAGUCCACGCCGUAAACGAUGUCUACUUGGAGGUUGUGGCCUUGAGCCGUGGCUUUCGGAGCUAACGCGUUAAGUAGACCGCCUGGGGAGUACGGUCGCAAGAUUAAAACUCAAAUGAAUUGACGGGGGCCCGCACAAGCGGUGGAGCAUGUGGUUUAAUUCGAUGCAACGCGAAGAACCUUACCUACUCUUGACAUCCAGAGAACUUUCCAGAGAUGGAUUGGUGCCUUCGGGAACUCUGAGACAGGUGCUGCAUGGCUGUCGUCAGCUCGUGUUGUGAAAUGUUGGGUUAAGUCCCGCAACGAGCGCAACCCUUAUCCUUGUUUGCCAGCACUUCGGGUGGGAACUCCAGGGAGACUGCCGGUGAUAAACCGGAGGAAGGUGGGGACGACGUCAAGUCAUCAUGGCCCUUACGAGUAGGGCUACACACGUGCUACAAUGGCGCAUACAGAGGGCGGCCAACUUGCGAAAGUGAGCGAAUCCCAAAAAGUGCGUCGUAGUCCGGAUUGGAGUCUGCAACUCGACUCCAUGAAGUCGGAAUCGCUAGUAAUCGUGGAUCAGAAUGCCACGGUGAAUACGUUCCCGGGCCUUGUACACACCGCCCGUCACACCAUGGGAGUGGGCUGCAAAAGAAGUAGGUAGUUUAACCUUCGGGGGGACGCUUACCACUUUGUGGUUCAUGACUGGGGUGAAGUCGUAACAAGGUAGC
rnacentral:rRNA from 1 species